CAAUAGCGUAUAUUAAUGUUGUUGCAGUUAAAAAGCUCGUAGUUGGAUUUCUGGUCGGAGCGACCGGUCCGGGUCCAUCGUGGCCCGAGCACUUGCGUCGUCUCGGACCUUCCUUAUGGAGAGCGCGUGUCGGGUUCACUCUCGGGGCGCGUGAUUCAUAUCGUUUACUGUGAGUAAAUCAAGGCGUUCAAAGCAGGCACUUUUGCUAUGAAUGUUUUAGCAUGGAAUAAUAAGAUAGGACUUGGGUACUAUUUUGUUGGUUUGCAUACCGAGGUAAUGAUUAAAAGGGACAGUUGGGGGCGUUCGUAUUCGACUGUCAGGAGUGAAACCCUAGGAUUCUUCGAAGACGAACUACUGCGAAAGCAUUCGCCAAGGGAUGCUUUCAUUA
rnacentral:rRNA from 1 species